GACGAACGCUGGCGGCGUGCUUAAUACAUGCAAGUCGAACGGGAUGUAGUAAAGGUAAGCCUCGGUAGAAGAAUACGAAUUAGAGUGGUGAACGGGUGAGAAACGCGUGAGCAACCUGCCUACGACGGUGGAAUCGCCGCGGGAGACCGGGAUUAAUACCGCACAACAUUGUACAAACAUAUGUUUCAACGUUCAAAGAUUUAUCAGUCAUAGCUGGCCUGCCGUCUGAUUAGAUAGUUGGUGAGAUAACACCCCACAAAGGCGACGAUCAGUAGACGGUCUGAGAGGAUGAGCGGCCACAUUGGAACUGAGACACGGUCCAGACUCCUACGGGAGGCAGCAGAGGGGAAUAUUGCACAAUGGGGGAAAUCCUGAUGCAGCGACGCCGCGUGAACGAAGAAGGUAGUCGUAACGUAAAGUGCUAGUCUAUGGGAAGAUAAUGACGGUACCAAAGAAGAAAGCACCGGCUAAAUACGUG
rnacentral:rRNA from 1 species